rnacentral:rRNA from 2 species
GGAUCCAGACUUUGAUUAUGGCUCAGGAUGAACGCUAGCUACAGGCUUAACACAUGCAAGUCGAGGGGCAGCAUGUUGGUUGCUUGCAAUCAACGAUGGCGACCGGCGCACGGGUGAGUAACGCGUAUCGAACCUGCCUCAUACUCGGGAAUAGCCUUGCGAAAGUAAGAUUAAUGCCCGAUGUUCUUCAUUUUUCACAUGAGAGAUGAAGCAAAGAUUAAUCGGUAUGAGAUGGCGAUGCGUCCCAUUAGUUUGUUGGCGGGGUAACGGCCCACCAAGACAUCGAUGGGUAGGGGUUCUGAGAGGAAGGUCCCCCACAUUGGAACUGAGACACGGUCCAAACUCCUACGGGAGGCAGCAGUGAGGAAUAUUGGUCAAUGGACGAAAGUCUGAACCAGCCAAGUAGCGUGCAGGAUGACGGCCCUCUGGGUUGUAAACUGCUUUUAGUUGGGAAUAAAGUGCACCACGUGUGGUGUUUUGUAUGUACCAUCAGAAAAAGGACCGGCUAAUUCCGUGCCAGCAGCCGCGGUAAUACGGAAGGUCCAGGCGUUAUCCGGAUUUAUUGGGUUUAAAGGGAGCGCAGGCGGACCUUUAAGUCAGCUGUGAGAUACGGCGGCUCAACCGUCGAACUGCAGUUGAUACUGGAGGUCUUGAGUGCACACAGGGAUACUGGAAUUCAUGGUGUAGCGGUGAAAUGCUCAGAUAUCAUGAAGAACUCCAAUCGCGAAGGCAGGUAUCCGGGGUGCAACUGACGCUGAGGCUCGAAAGUGCGGGUAUCAAACAGGAUUAGAUACCCUGGUAGUCCGCACAGUAAACGAUGAAUACUCGCGAUUUGCGAUACACAGUAAGUCGCCAAGCGAAAGCGUUAAGUAUUCCACCUGGGGAGUACGCCGGCAACGGUGCAACUCAAAUGAAUUGACGG